AGAGUUUGAUCCUGGCUCAGGACGAACGCUGGCGGCGUGCCUAACACAUGCAAGUCGAACGGACUGCCCCCUAAGGCCCUUCGGGGACUUAGGGGAUCACAGUCAGUGGCGGACGGGUGAGUAACGCGUGAACAAUCUGCCUUAGGGAGUGGGAUAACCUGACGAAAGUUGGGCUAAUACCGCAUAAGUUAAGUCCAGGAAUCUGGAUUUAAUGAAAGAUGGGCUUAGAACCAUUACCCUAAGAGGGGUUCGCGUCGGAUUAGCUAGCUGGUAGGGUAAAGGCCUACCAGGGCGACAAUCCGUAGCUGGUCUGAGAGGACGAUCAGCCACACUGGGACUGAGACACGGCCCAGACUCCUACGGGAGGCAGCAGUGGGGAAUUUUCUGCAAUGGGGGAGACCCUGACAGAGCGACGCCGCGUUAGUGAAGAAGGCCUUCGGGUUGUAAAGCUAUGUCAAGGUGGAAGAAAGUAUUUGCUAGGAAAUGAGCAGGUAUUGACGGUACACCUAGAGGAAGCACUGGCUAACUACGUGCCAGCAGCCGCGGUAACACGUAGAGUGCAAGCGUUGUCCGGAAUUAUUGGGCGUAAAGGGUAGGCAGGCGGAGCUGCAAGUCGGAUGUGAAAGUUCAGGGCUUAACCCUGAGAUCGCGUUUGANACUGCAGUUCUUGAGUACAGC
rnacentral:rRNA from 1 species